GCAUUGCACCAAUAGGAUCCCUUUUUCUGUGUCCUUUUGACAGGUUUUCAGAAGCAGAAAAGGGGAAUUAGAACACCCUCCAUCUAUACGCUGAGAAUUCCCAAAGCUCUCUAGGUGCUCAUCUCUCACCAGCUGCAGACCCGUAAAUUCAAAGGCCCACUGGCCAGCUUCGCCUGACCCCAAGCCCAGCACGUCCAGCCUGGCUCCUACCCACACCCAGGGCCGCUCUUCCCUGUGGGUUCCUUCCUAGGUUCCAGGGCAUUCUUGACCCUUCGAGCUCACACACACAGUCAAUCUCAGAAACCUGUCUCUCAAUUUAAUAUCAACCAAUCCCAUUCUUUUUUUUCAACAAUAUGACCGAUACGACAUCAGCUCAGCUCACCUCCAUCUCUGACCCGGUUUAUGGCCACACUCUCAGCUGUCUUUCCCUCGUUCUUGCCACGUGCCUUGUUUAAGAUCUUUCAAAGGCUCCCUUCAGCAUAAGACCCCAGGUCCCAGGACCCUUCAGCAGGGGCCCCACACAGCCCUGUCCACCCCACUCCUCCCUAAACGCCGUCCUCCUGCCCCUGCACCCACAGGGGCCCUGGCCUGACGCUUCCCCGUCUCCCCUUCUGCCUCAGUCCCAGUCAGACUUUGGUCUCAGCUGAGGAAGGUCUCACUACAACGUCUUCCUGACUCCCCAAGAAGGGCUCCAUGGCACCCCAACCUAAAACAGCUCUUAUCUCACCCUCUGCAUGAAAAUUUCCCUUUUCCUGUCUGUCUGUCCCCCCAGACGGGGAGCUCCUGGAAGGCAAAGGCUGUGGCCAACACUUCAUCCUCGUGUCCACCCAGCGCCUGCGUCGUCUGACGCUCAGCUCAUACUUGCCAAUUUAAACUGAGCCUAUAAACCAUGAGUGGAACGGGUGAGGGACCUGAGGGCGAGGGCCAGAGUGGCCAGCGUGGUUCAGCAGUCCAACGAAGUGAGGAAUGAAGCCUAACCUUCGACCCGGCAGCCAGCGCCUGCGCAACGCCACCAGAGAGGCCGCCACGUGCGCCAGACACCUGCUGGGGGACUGUCGGGAAGCAACGUGCAUCUUCUCUCCGCGGGCUCACGUUCGUGUGUGGGAACACAUACGUGCUAGCCCCCGCUUGGCCGCCCGUCGCCUGGAGCCAGAUCCUCCACAGCUGCCACCUGCCCUUGCCGGCUUCCUCCUGCCCCUGCCGGCUUCCUCGGCCACCCAGUCCACAGGCUUUCCAUUUCCAGGACCUCCUUGAAACAAAAACCCAACAAACCUGAAGGUAGAGAAGCAGGGCCCAGGUGGGAACCCCAGGCCACCAGCCCUUCCCCAGCCUUGGAAACACAAGGGCCUCUCUCUGCAUGAGAUUAUCUCCCCAAGAAGACAGGAAGCGCGUCUGGGAAGUGCGUUUCUCCUAAGACUGCUUUGGCCCGUGCUGAGGGUGAGCAGGACACCGCGGUCAGAGGGGCUGGCUGCCCGCCCCCAGGGAAACCCGAGGCCCACCGCCUUGGCUCUGUGGCCACAGGGGCCCUGGGGCAGUGUCCUGGCCGGAGAAGAGCCGCGGGACUCGCAGCCUGCAGACCUCCAGGGCCCCUGGCCUGGCCAAGCGUCAGGAUGGCCUGGAGAGCUCGCAGACCCGAGAAGCGGGGCUCCCCUCGGGCCUGGCCUGCGGGCGCAGGGGCGGCUGGUGCUGCUGGGGGCACGCCUGGGAGACGCGCACGGCCGCACGGCCGAGCUCACGGGCCGGGAGGCCUC
ensembl:lincRNA